rnacentral:rRNA from 1 species
ACGGGUGAGUAACACGUAGGUAACCUACCCUUCAGUGGGGGACAACAGAGGGAAACUUCUGCUAAUACCGCAUACGAUCACGGACUGGGAUGUUCGUGGUGAAAGGAUUUAUUCGCUGAGGGAUGGGCCUGCGGCCUAUCAGGUAGUUGGUGGGGUAAUGGCCUACCAAGCCUGCGACGGGUAGCCGGACUGAGAGGUCGAUCGGCCACACUGGAACUGAGACACGGUCCAGACUCCUACGGGAGGCAGCAGUGGGGAAUAUUGCACAAUGGGGGAAACCCUGAUGCAGCGACGCCGCGUGGAGGAUGACGGCCUUCGGGUUGUAAACUCCUUUUGUCGGGGACAAUGGUGAUGGUACCCGACGAAUAAGCCACGGCUAACUCUGUGCCAGCAGCCGCGGUAAGACAGAGGUGGCGAGCGUUGUUCGGAAUUACUGGGCUUAAAGGGCGCGUAGGCGGUGGUGUAAGUCUAGGGUGGAAUGCUACAGCUCAACUGUAGAGCUGCCUUGGAAACUGCAUUACUUGAGUCGGUGAGGGGAAGGUGGAAUUCCAGGU